rnacentral:rRNA from 1 species
AACGAACGCUGGCGGCAUGCCUAACACAUGCAAGUCGAACGAGACCUUCGGGUCUAGUGGCGCACGGGUGCGUAACGCGUGGGAACCUGCCCUUAGGUUCGGAAUAACUCCCCGAAAGGGGUGCUAAUACCGGAUAAUGUCUUCGGACCAAAGAUUUAUCGCCUGUGGAUGGGCCCGCGUUGGAUUAGCUAGUUGGUAGGGUAAAAGCCUACCAAGGCGACGAUCCAUAGCUGGUCUGGGAGGAUGAUCGGCCACACUGGGACUGAGACACGGCCCAGCCAGGCGCCGGAGGGAGGAGAGGGGAAGAGAGUAUAGUGGGCGGAGGAAAGGUGCAGCAACUCAGCGCGCGGGAUGAAUGAAAUCCGUUGGUGUAGAAAUUUUGUUUGCCCCGAAGGGAGAGUGACGGUACGGGGAAAAGAAGCCCCGGCUAACUCCGUG